rnacentral:snoRNA from 1 species
CCCCUUUUGAAAGUACUCAGUGGACCUUUUGCUAAUGACCCAUUGAGCUGUCAAGAAGGGACAGAGUGAAAACACCACUUUGGGGUAAAGUAGCAGCACUUUGUGUUGUUUUGCUUCAAGGGUGGUGUGACAAGG